UUGAACGCUGGCGGCAUGCCUUACACCUGCAGGUCGAACGGCAGCACGGGUGCUUGCACCUGGUGGCGAGUGGCGAACGGGUGAGUAAUACAUCGGAACAUGUCCUGUAGUGGGGGAUAGCCCGGCGAAAGCCGGAUUAAUACCGCAUACGAUCCACGGAUGAAAGCGGGGGACCUUCGGGCCUCGCGCUAUAGGGUUGGCCGAUGGCUGAUUAGCUAGUUGGUGGGGUAAAGGCCUACCAAGGCGACGAUCAGUAGCUGGUCUGAGAGGACGACCAGCCACACUGGGACUGAGACACGGCCCAGACUCCUACGGGAGGCAGCAGUGGGGAAUUUUGGACAAUGGGCGAAAGCCUGAUCCAGCAAUGCCGCGUGUGUGAAGAAGGCCUUCGGGUUGUAAAGCACUUUUGUCCGGAAAGAAAUCCUUGACUCUAAUACAGUCGGGGGAUGACGGUACCGGAAGAAUAAGCACCGGCUAACUACGUG
rnacentral:rRNA from 1 species